rnacentral:rRNA from 1 species
AUUGAACGCUGGCGGCAUGCUUUACACAUGCAAGUCGAACGGCAGCGCGGGGCAACCUGGCGGCGAGUGGCGAACGGGUGAGUAAUACAUCGGAACGUACCCAGAAGUGGGGGAUAACGUAGCGAAAGUUACGCUAAUACCGCAUACGUUCUACGGAAGAAAGUGGGGGAUCUUCGGACCUCAUGCUUUUGGAGCGGCCGAUGUCUGAUUAGCUAGUUGGUGAGGUAAAGGCUCACCAAGGCGACGAUCAGUAGCUGGUCUGAGAGGACGACCAGCCACACUGGGACUGGGACACGGCCCAGACUCCUACGGGAGGCAGCAGUGGGGAAUUUUGGACAAUGGGCGCAAGCCUGAUCCAGCAAUGCCGCGUGAGUGAAGAAGGCCUUCGGGUUGUAAAGCUCUUUUGUCAGGGAAGAAACGGCUGGGGCUAAUAUCCCCGGCUAAUGACGGUACCUGAAGAAUAAGCACCGGCUAACUACGUGCCAGCCGCCGCCGUAA